rnacentral:rRNA from 1 species
UACAUAUGGUGCAAGCGUUAUCCGGAUUUAUUGGGCGUAAAGCGCGCGUAGGCGGUUUGGUAAGUUAGAAGUUAAAUUCCAGGGCUCAACCCUGGUUCGCUUUUAAAACUGCCAAGCUAGAGUUUUGGAGAGGGAAGGGGAACUAACAGAGUAGCGGUGAAAUGCGUAGAUACUGUUAGGAACACCAGUGGCGAAGGCGCCUUCCUGGACAAUAACUGACGUUAAAGUGCGAAAGCGUGGGGAGCAAACAGG